AAGUCAGAUGUGAAAGCCUUCUGUUUAACGGAAGAAUUGCAUCUGAAACUGCGAGUCUUGAGUGUAGGAGGGGAGAAUGGAACUUCUGGUGGAGCGGUGAAAUGCGUAGAUAUCAGAAGGAACGCCGGCGGCGAAAGCAAUUCUCUGGCCUAUUACUGACACUCAGUGUGCGAACGUAGGGGGAGCAAACGGGAUUAGAUACCCUGGUAGUCCAUGCCGUAAACGUU
rnacentral:rRNA from 1 species